UACGUAGGGGGCAAGCGUUGUCCGGAAUCAUUGGGCGUAAAGCGCGCGUAGGCGGUCCGAUAAGUCGGCUGUGAAAGUCAGGGGCUCAACCCUUGAAAGCCGGCCGAUACUGUCGGACUAGAGUCCGGAAGAGGCAAGUGGAAUUCCCGGUGUAGCGGUGAAAUGCGCAGAUAUCGGGAGGAACACCAAUGGCGAAGGCAGCUUGCUGGGACGGUACUGACGCUGAGGCGCGAAAAGCGUGGGGGAGCAAACAGG
rnacentral:rRNA from 1 species